rnacentral:misc_RNA from 1 species
GAGCAAUGGAAUGUAUGGGCGAAUAGAGUAUCGAGUUCAACUGGUGCGGGCAUAGUUGUAGAUCCUUAAAGAACCACACACAGCAAAGCUAAAGUACGCGACAAAGCUAGCAUUUCGAGCAACGAACAACGUGGCUGAAUAUGAGGCCAUUCUCAUGGCUCUGCACAUCAUCAAAGCGUAAGAGCCCAAAAAUUCAACAUUUUUUAUGACAAUUGGUUGUUAAACAACUACAGGAAAGUUAUUAAGUCGAAGACUCGAACCUGGGGUGGCAUAAAUCCGAGUAGAUAGCGGAGAAGUAAACAUUCUCUAAAUACCAAGAGAGGAGAACUAAGAGGCAGACUCCCUGGCAAAGGCAGCGGUAGUGGGCGAACAAUACCUGACACAAUCCAUCCCUUUUGAGGAGAUCGCAGCACCGACCGUGGACAAGGAAGAGGCAUUGCCAAUCGAUAUUGGAGAAACGUGGAUGACACCCAUCUUCUGUUGCUUCGACCAAGGCACACUACGAAGCCAAAAAGAUAGUACAGGGAUCAAUGAAGUAUAGUAUACUUGAUGGCUGGCUGUAUCGGAGAUUCUACCUUCAACCAUGGCUCAAAUGCGUUAAUAGAGAGGAUGGUUUGUUGGUCUUACUUGAGAUCCACGAGGGACUGUGCGAUAAACAUGAAGGGGCAAGAACAAUUGCCAAAAAGGCACUCAGACAAGGGUUUUUUUUGCCCAUUGCAGUGUAGGAAGCCAAGGAUUUAGUUCAGAAAUGCAGAAAAUGCCAAGAGCAUAGCAUCAUUCUUCGCCUCCCAGUGGAGAAACUUUCAUCCAUCGGCAGUUCAUGAACCUUCUACAAGUGGGGCAUAGACAUUCUUGGGCCUUUUCCAAUGGCAUCGAGCUCCCGAAAGUACGCAUAGUCGCCAUUGAUCACUUGACCAGGUGGCCGAAAGCCGAGGCAUCACAGUACUUAACAGCUUACCGAGCAAUAGCUUUCAUCAGACAAAAUAUCUUCUGCAGGUUUGGAGUUCCCAAAGUUAUCAUAACAGACAAUGGUACUCAGCUCGCUAGUAACAAAUUCGAAGAGCUUAGGAUCGAUCUUUGCUUCGCUUGAACCUAUCAUUCGCAGACAAGCGGAAUGAUUGAAGUCGCAAAUCGAACAAUACUUGAAGGAUUGAAGAGGCGGCUAUGUAGAGCUAAAGGAGCCUGGCCUGACCAUUUGCCGAGCAUCCUGUGGGCUUAUCGAACUACACCUAGGUCAGCUACAAGAAAAACUCCAUUUUCACUCGCAUAUGGAUCAGAGGCAGUAAUCCCCUCGGGAGUCAACAUCCCAUGAGCUCAAACAGAGCACCCUAAGGAAGCUUCACAAUAGGAAGACCUAUGGUUCAAUCUUGACACGACUGAAAAGCUGAGGGAGAUAGCUUUCAUUUGAAUGGCACAGUACAUAUAAAAGAUGAUCAACAUGUAUAACAAAAAAGUCAAAACGUCUAGCAUUCAUGGUCGAAAACUUUGUUCUUAAGAGAGACAAUGUCACAAGCAGCAUAGUCGAAGCUGGGAAGUUAGGAUGUAACUGGGUUGGACCUUUUGUCAUUUCUAAGGUUAUCUGCUUAGGGUUUUACAAACUAGCCGAGACAAAUGACAGAGUCUUGCCCUGAGCAUAGAAUAUCUAUAAUUUUUGCAAGUAUUAUAAACAAAGAGGAAUUUUUCAUAAUCUCUAAUUGUUCUAAUCUAAGGAUGCUUAGCUCAUUCAUGACUCCGCUAGACUAAAUAAUUUAAGGGUGUUUAGCUCAUCCACGAUAAUAGUCUGUUAGGCUAAAUAAUGUAAGGGUGCUUAGUCUAUCAAUAGUAAUAGUUCACAAAGUUAAAAUAAGCUAAAGGGCCUUUAGCUCAUACCCAUCGAUGAGCUACAAUAUAAGCAAAAUUUAAGGGCAACUACCCCGAUAGCAAGAUUAAUAAGAAUUAUGACGAAUAAGCUGCCUAUAUUAUGAUCUAAUGUCUUGAACAAGUAAAAGAAAAUCACUGUAAAUAUCUGAGCAACACAUUAUAUGCACGAAUGGUUUGUCUUAUUGAUGCUUUUCUUCGGUCAAAAUUUUGAGUGAUCUUCUCUAUAUUUUAUUAAUUACGUUUUGAUCAUGGGUAAAGCCGAGCAGUCGUCUUUGUCACAUUCUAUACCAAGUGAAAUUUCAUGCUUUAUGACAUUACGACUCAUACACGGCACCCAAGGUUCAUUACCAAUUAAGGUUCCGAGAAAAAAUUACUUGAACUUUUAUACAUAAAUUUUUAACACUUGUUGAUGCAGGAAUACCGAGCAAUUACUGGUGUUUUCCUUAGUGGUACGUUGGCCUAUGGGUCCAAGCAUUUAUCACUUACGGAAGUUAAUUCAUCAAGAUUGUUCAAUUAUUAUUGUUACAUUUUCUACUCGGUCUGUGGGUCCGAGCAUUUAUUAUUAUUGUCAUUACAUUUUUUACUUGGCCUGUGAAUCCGAGCACUUAUUACUAACAAGUUUUAAUGUUGUGUUCAGUUACUUAUUCCGAGCUAUGGUACUUUGCAACUUUCAAAAAGUAAAGAAAGGAAAAUACUGUUCAUUGAUGAGAAAAGGAAAUAUAAAGAUUAUCGAGUAUAGGGGCCUACUCAUCAUAUGCAACCCCCUGCUCAGGUGCAUUAACAUCAUUGACGUCUACAGCUUCGUCUUCGCCACCACCUAAAUCCUCUACCUAGGAGAAGUCAUUCCCUGGGUAGCGCCUUUGAAGCUCAAUGACAAUGUCAUUUUGGGCUUUGACAUAAAUGUUGACUGGUUGAUCGUCGGUGGUGGCGAGCUCCGCUUCCUGCUUUUCAACCUUUUUCUUAAGUUUGGUUUGUUUUGCCUGGGCAAUUUUGGGCUUCGACCUCAAGAGCGCACAUCUUCACCUUCAGCUUUUGAAGCUUGCCCUCCUGCUUCU